rnacentral:rRNA from 1 species
UUAAGCGACUAAGCGUACACGGUGGAUGCCCUGGCAGUCAGAGGCGAUGAAGGACGUGCUAAUCUGCGAAAAGCGUCGGUAAGGUGAUAUGAACCGUUAUAACCGGCGAUGUCCGAAUGGGGAAACCCAGUGCAAUUCGUUGCACUAUCGUUAACUGAAUACAUAGGUUAACGAGGCGAACCGGGGGAACUGAAACAUCUAAGUACCCCGAGGAAAAGAAAUCAACCGAGAUUCCCCCAGUAGCGGCGAGCGAACGGGGAGCAGCCCAGAGUCUGAAUCAGCUUGUGUGUUAGUGGAACGGUCUGGAAAGUCCGACGGUACAGGGUGAUAGUCCCGUACACCAAAAUGCACAGGCUGUGAACUCGAAGAGUAGGGCGGGACACGUGGUAUCCUGUCUGAAUAUGGGGGGACCAUCCUCCAAGGCUAAAUACUCCUGACUGACCGAUAGUGAACCAGUACCGUGAGGGAAAGGCGAAAAGAACCCCGGCGAGGGGAGUGAAAAAGAACCUGAAACCGUGUACGUACAAGCAGUGGGAGCACCUUCGGGUGUGACUGCGUACCUUUUGUAUAAUGGGUCAGCGACUUAUAUUCUGUAGCAAGGUUAACCGUAUAGGGGAGCCGCAGGGAAACCGAGUCUUAACUGGGCGUUAAGUUGCAGGGUAUAGACCCGAAACCCGGUGAACUAGCCAUGGGCAGGUUGAAGGUUGGGUAACACUAACUGGAGGACCGAACCGACUAAUGUUGAAAAAUUAGCGGAUGACUUGUGGCUGGGGGUGAAAGGCCAAUCAAACCGGGAGAUAGCUGGUUCUCCCCGAAAGCUAUUUAGGUAGCGCCUCGUGAACUCAUCUUCGGGGGUAGAGCACUGUUUCGGCUAGGGGGUCAUCCCGACUUACCAACCCGAUGCAAACUACGAAUACCGAAGAAUGUUAUCACGGGAGACACACGGCGGGUGCUAACGUCCGUCGUGAAGAGGGAAACAACCCAGACCGCCAGCUAAGGUCCCAAAGUCAUGGUUAAGUGGGAAACGAUGUGGGAAGGCACAGACAGCCAGGAUGUUGGCUUAGAAGCAGCCAUCAUUUAAAGAAAGCGUAAUAGCUCACUGGUCGAGUCGGCCUGCGCGGAAGAUGUAACGGGGCUAAACCAUGCACCGAAGCUGCGGCAGCGACACUAUGUGUUGUUGGGUAGGGGAGCGUUCUGUAAGCCUGCGAAGGUGUGCUGUGAGGCAUGCUGGAGGUAUCAGAAGUGCGAAUGCUGACAUAAGUAACGAUAAAGCGGGUGAAAAGCCCGCUCGCCGGAAGACCAAGGGUUCCUGUCCAACGUUAAUCGGGGCAGGGUGAGUCGACCCCUAAGGCGAGGCCGAAAGGCGUAGUCGAUGGGAAACAGGUUAAUAUUCCUGUACUUGGUGUUACUGCGAAGGGGGGACGGAGAAGGCUAUGUUAGCCGGGCGACGGUUGUCCCGGUUUAAGCAUGUAGGCUGGUUGUCCAGGCAAAUCCGGAUAAUCAAGGCUGAGGUGUGAUGACGAGGCACUACGGUGCUGAAGUAACAAAUGCCCUGCUUCCAGGAAAAGCCUCUAAGCAUCAGGUAACAUCAAAUCGUACCCCAAACCGACACAGGUGGUCAGGUAGAGAAUACCAAGGCGCUUGAGAGAACUCGGGUGAAGGAACUAGGCAAAAUGGUGCCGUAACUUCGGGAGAAGGCACGCUGGUGUGUAGGUGAAGUCCCUGCGGAUGGAGCUGAGACCAGUCGAAGAUACCAGCUGGCUGCAACUGUUUAUUAAAAACACAGCACUGUGCAAACACGAAAGUGGACGUAUACGGUGUGACGCCUGCCCGGUGCCGGAAGGUUAAUUGAUGGGGUUAUCCGUAAGGAGAAGCUCUUGAUCGAAGCCCCGGUAAACGGCGGCCGUAACUAUAACGGUCCUAAGGUAGCGAAAUUCCUUGUCGGGUAAGUUCCGACCUGCACGAAUGGCGUAAUGAUGGCCAGGCUGUCUCCACCCGAGACUCAGUGAAAUUGAACUCGCUGUGAAGAUGCAGUGUACCCGCGGCAAGACGGAAAGACCCCGUGAACCUUUACUAUAGCUUGACACUGAACAUUGAGCCUUGAUGUGUAGGAUAGGUGGGAGGCUUUGAAGCGUGGACGCCAGUCUGCGUGGAGCCAACCUUGAAAUACCACCCUUUAAUGUUUGAUGUUCUAACGUUGGCCCCUUACCGGGGUUGCGGACAGUGUCUGGUGGGUAGUUUGACUGGGGCGGUCUCCUCCCAAAGCGUAACGGAGGAGCACGAAGGUUAGCUAAUCCUGGUCGGACAUCAGGAGGUUAGUGCAAUGGCAUAAGCUAGCUUGACUGCGAGCGUGACGGCGCGAGCAGGUGCGAAAGCAGGUCAUAGUGAUCCGGUGGUUCUGAAUGGAAGGGCCAUCGCUCAACGGAUAAAAGGUACUCCGGGGAUAACAGGCUGAUACCGCCCAAGAGUUCAUAUCGACGGCGGUGUUUGGCACCUCGAUGUCGGCUCAUCACAUCCUGGGGCUGAAGUAGGUCCCAAGGGUAUGGCUGUUCGCCAUUUAAAGUGGUACGCGAGCUGGGUUUAGAACGUCGUGAGACAGUUCGGUCCCUAUCUGCCGUGGGCGCUGGAGAAUUGAGGGGGGCUGCUCCUAGUACGAGAGGACCGGAGUGGACGCAUCACUGGUGUUCGGGUUGUCAUGCCAAUGGCACUGCCCGGUAGCUAAAUGCGGAAGAGAUAAGUGCUGAAAGCAUCUAAGCACGAAACUUGCCCCGAGAUGAGUUCUCCCUGAGACUUUAAGUCUCCUGAAGGAACGUUAAAGACGAUGACGUUGAUAGGCCGGGUGUGUAAGCGCAGCGAUGCGUUGAGCUAACCGGUACUAAUGAACCGUGAGGCUUAACCUU